rnacentral:lncRNA from 1 species
UUUGUUACCCUUUAUGUGACGGCCACACUGCUGUCACAUAUGUUACUAACCACGUGACGGUAAAGAGCCGUUCGGUAUAGCACUAUUUUAGAAAUUUAAAUUUAUUUCCAGUUAGAAAACUAUUCGCUGGAAUAGCCACCAUCGUAAACCUAACUGGUUGCCGGCGAACGGCGUAAAACACCGGGCAUCUUCUUCUUCAUCGUAUUCUCCCUUCAUCUUUUGAGGUAAGCUUGUGAUUAUGAGUUUCUUCUCUGACUUAGCUUGUAAUUAUAGAUUUUGAUUUUUUUUUUUAAAUUCGUAUUGUAGCCAUUAUUGUCAAUUUUUGUCCCGCCAGCAAUAUUUUUUUAUUCCUACAAGUUGAAGCCCCUGUGUUCUUGUUCCAUUGGUGAGUUUGCUCACUCAAAUUAAUUUUGUUCUGCGGAAUUUACAAAGUUCAAAUGGAUUCAUUUGAAUUACUAUUGAAUUUAGCUUUAAUUCCAACAUCCAUUCUAAUGUUUUGCUAUUAGAUUUAGUUUAAUUUUAUGUUUAAAGCAUCUACAAUGAAUAGCGGAGCUUGGGUUUUAGUUUCAUUUUCUGGAUAACUUGUUUUAGUUUAUCUUGUAUGCUCACCAAGUGCUUGUUAUAUUGUCUGAUAAGUUAUAUACAUUGCUGAUUCUAUAUUAAUAAUGUUACGUUCUAUUUUCAGAAAUUAUAAUACAAAAGUUUUUACAAUGGCGUGCAUCUACAAACUGAAUUGACUUGUAGAAUAAGAGCUUGCAGUAAAUGAAAGUUCAUAUUGUGUAAGAG